rnacentral:rRNA from 1 species
UACGAAGGGGGCUAGCGUUGCUCGGAAUCACUGGGCGUAAAGCGCACGUAGGCGGAUCGUUAAGUCAGGGGUGAAAUCCUGGAGCUCAACUCCAGAACUGCCUUUGAUACUGGCGACCUUGAGUUCGGGAGAGGUGAGUGGAACUGCGAGUGUAGAGGUGAAAUUCGUAGAUAUUCGCAAGAACACCAGUGGCGAAGGCGGCUCACUGGCCCAUAACUGACGCUGAGGCACGAAAGCGUGGGGAGCAAACAGG